rnacentral:pre_miRNA from 1 species
AAAAAGACAAACCCUGGUUUCCGUGUCCAACGUUUGACCAUCCGUCUUAUUUGAAAAAAUUAUCAAAAAAAUUAAAAAGACAAGUCACGCAUAAAGUAUUAAUUAUGUUUUAUCAUCUAACAACAAUNNNNNNNNNNNNUUAUACGAAAAAUUAAAAAGACAAGUCACGCAUAAAGUAUUAAUUAUGUUUUAUCAUCUAACAACAAUGAAAAUACUAAUUAUAAAAAAAAUUCAUAUAAGACGGACAGUCAAACGUUGAACACGGAAAUCCAUGGAUUGUCUUUUU